UCUAUGGAAUCACAUCUCCGUGCUUUUGGUGAAAGAGAACGCUGGAAAAUUGAAGUUUUAUUGCGGAUGUUGACAAAUCUGCUUCCAUUCGUGCACUGAAAAGUGAUUGAGACUUGCUCAUUUCCCUCUGCAAUGAGAUCUUCUACAUCUUCUGAAACAUGGGGAUUCUUCAUAAUCUCCUUGUUCGAAUUGUAUGCAGGGAUCCCCAUCAGCAGAUUGCACUCCUAACAGCGUUCCUGGCAAAGGUGAAUAAGGUAUUUGGGCUUAAGUCAAAAAGCAGUACUCUGGUGAUAUUUUAGAAUCAGUUGAAUCUUUGCUGAGAAGAUUGGUUAAGCAAGCGGAGUCUGGUGAUACUUAUGGUGAUAUUUAGUCUUUCUUUCCCUGUUUUUCAAUGCCUCUGUCAGUUGACACAAACUAGGUUACCCAUCCAUUUUAAAAACAUCAACAUAGAUCGAAUAUUGUAUGUCAGUCACAACAUACAUAAGUUUACUUGUGUACACUCAAU